UACGUAGGGGGCAAGCGUUGUCCGGAAUCAUUGGGCGUAAAGCGCGCGUAGGCGGCCCUGUAAGUCCGUUGUGAAAGUCAAAGGCUCAACCUUUGAAAGCCGAUGGAUACUGCAGGGCUAGAGUCCGGAAGAGGCGAGUGGAAUUCCUGGUGUAGCGGUGAAAUGCGCAGAUAUCAGGAGGAACACCUAUUGCGAAGGCAGCUCGCUGGGACGUAACUGACGCUGAGACGCGAAAGCGUGGGGAGCAAACAGG
rnacentral:rRNA from 1 species